rnacentral:rRNA from 1 species
AGAGUUUGAUCCUGGCUCAGGAUGAACGCUGGCGGCGUGCUUAACACAUGCAAGUCGAACGAGCCUUCGGGCUAGUGGCGGACGGGUGAGUAACGCGUGGGAAUCUGCCCUCAGGAGGGGGAUAACGGCCGGAAACGGCCGCUAAUACCCCAUAUGCCGAGAGGUGAAACGAAUUUCGCCUGGGGAUGAGCCCGCGUCUGAUUAGCUAGUUGGUGAGGUAAUGGCUCACCAAGGCAUCGAUCAGUAGCUGGUCUGAGAGGAUGAUCAGCCACACUGGGACUGAGACACGGCCCAGACUCCUACGGGAGGCAGCAGUGGGGAAUUUUCCGCAAUGGGCGCAAGCCUGACGGAGCAACGCCGCGUGAGGGACGAAGGCCUCUGGGCUGUAAACCUCUUUUCUCAAGGAAGAAGACAUGACGGUACUUGAGGAAUAAGCCACGGCUAAUUCCGUGCCAGCAGCCGCGGUAAUACGGGAGUGGCAAGCGUUAUCCGGAAUUAUUGGGCGUAAAGCGUCCGCAGGCGGCCUUGAAAGUCUGUUGUUAAAGCGUGGAGCUCAACUCCAUUUCAGCAAUGGAAACUACAAGGCUAGAGUGUGGUAGGGGCAGAGGGAAUUCCCGGUGUAGCGGUGAAAUGCGUAGAUAUCGGGAAGAACACCAGUGGCGAAGGCGCUCUGCUGGGCCAUAACUGACGCUCAUGGACGAAAGCCAGGGGAGCGAAAGGGAUUAGAUACCCCUGUAGUCCUGGCCGUAAACGAUGAACACUAGGUGUCGGGAGAAUUAACCCUUCCGGUGUCGUAGCCAACGCGUUAAGUGUUCCGCCUGGGGAGUACGCACGCAAGUGUGAAACUCAAAGGAAUUGACGGGGGCCCGCACAAGCGGUGGAGUAUGUGGUUUAAUUCGAUGCAACGCGAAGAACCUUACCAGGGUUUGACAUCCUGCGAAUCCCUUGGAAACUUGGGAGUGCCUUCGGGAACGCAGUGACAGGUGGUGCAUGGCUGUCGUCAGCUCGUGUCGUGAGAUGUUGGGUUAAGUCCCGCAACGAGCGCAACCCACGUCUUUAGUUGCCAGCAUUCAGUUGGGCACUCUAGAGAGACCGCCGGUGAUAAACCGGAGGAAGGUGUGGAUGACGUCAAGUCAUCAUGCCCCUUACAUCCUGGGCUACACACGUACUACAAUGCUACGGACAAAGGGCAGCAAACUCGCGAGAGCUAGCAAAUCCCAUAAACCGUGGCUCAGUUCAGAUCGUAGGCUGCAACUCGCCUACGUGAAGGAGGAAUCGCUAGUAAUCGCAGGUCAGCAUACUGCGGUGAAUACGUUCCCGGGCCUUGUACACACCGCCCGUCACACCAUGGAAGUUGGCCAUGCCCGAAGUCGUUACUCCAACCCGCAAGGGAGGAGGACGCCGAAGGUGGGGCUGAUGACUGGGGUGAAGUCGUAACAAGGUAGCCGUACCGGAAGGUGCGGCUG